rnacentral:tRNA from 2 species
GGGCGAUUAGCUCAGUGGGAGAGCGCUGCUUUCACACAGCAGAGGUCGAGUGUUCAAUCCACUCAUCGCCCACCA